AUCCAAGCUCCGCGGCCCCGACCAGCGCCGCUGGUUCGCCCGCCAGAUCAUGCUCCCGGAGUGGAUGGUCGACGCCCCUCCCCACCUCGCCCGCGACUGGUUGUUCUUGCACUCAGCGACGGCUAGAGUCGCUUUGAUGAGAAGUUGAGGGUGCAGGUACAAGGCAGCAGUAGUAGCAGCUUAGCCUCCAUCAGUGGCGGCAGCAGUACAACACCCUCCUAAUGUUGUAGCAAGCCACCGUGGCGGCGGCGGCCCAUGUCCCAGUGUUUGUUGAGCGCAAAGGACAACGAUUACAUUGGUACUCAAGAACGCAGAGGAAAACGGCCACCCCACCACCCAAAGUGGCCGGAAGGAACGAGUUCCCCUUCGUCCUCGGCGGCAAAGAGGGUGUGGGCUUGGUGCUAGAGGCUCAUGAACCGGCAGUGUUUUGGUACUUCAUCCGUCAAUUAUCAGCGACUGCUACUUCUUCAUCUGUUGGUUUGAACUCUCUUCUGAAUUCUGGUGUUUUAUCUGAGGCGGAUGGUCUGAGACGUGAAAUUUGGUUGGAAGUGGCCUGUUGUGGAUAUGCUCGAUGGAGCAGAUCGUGCUUUUUUAGACAGCAUUGCUGUUACUUCCGUGGGGCUAUUUGCUCUGCAUACAGAUGAUUCUACAGUCUGUUAGUUCUUAUCGAGUUAUCGUCCUCCUGGUUUGUCUGAUGUCUCUGCAAGUUUUUUCUUUCUGAAAUUGGUGCUUUCUUAUCUGCAUAAUGCACAUAGGGAGCAGGUAUGUGAACCACGCUUAAAUUUUUUUUGGCAUCGUACGAGCUGAUGCACAUGUAUUUGCCAGGCCUUCUACAUGAAGGAAGCUAUACGGCCAAGCUUCUUCUUGAAUAAUUGCUCACAUGUGUGUUUUUCACCACCACAAUGAAAAGUAUUACACUCAGCAGCAGCACCAGCCUCUCGACAGUGAUUAGAAUUAGGAAGCUGAAUGUUCCUAUGAUCCCUGCGAGGAUUUUCAUAAUUCAGUUUAUACUUAAAUAGAAAUAACAUCGAGAAAAAACAUGCUGAAUGUUCCUUAUUGCAGGUCAUCGAUAGAUCACUCUAUGCAAUUCAGAGACCGCUGGAUUUAGGUUAAUAACACCAAUUAAAUCAAAAUUAUUCGGAACAAAAAUCUGAUCCAAGAGGGCAGUCAAGAGAGCGUUGAUUACCUGAGAUCAGCCAACGUCGCCGGAGCCAAGUAUAGCGCCACCAAUAAUUGAUUGUUAAACACAUGGUCCGUUCGUCUCCUUUGGUAAAUGUGAUGCGCGCUGGUGCCUGUUCAUGCUUUGAGACAAUGAGUGCGAGGGCGUCGAUGCACGUAGCAUGGGCGCUGAUGUGGGCUAACACGGCAGAGGCAAGGUACAAGAGCUUUCCGGCGAAUCUAGGACCACGAGCAGGUAGUGCACGAGAGUGGAGGCUAUUUGACAAAUAUCGGCAUAGGAACUCUGCCCUUGCUGCUGCCGUCACCGCGUCCAUCUAUACAGAGGAUCAUAGUAGGUUUUCUGUCUCGAGGGCCAGAGCACCUUUGCACCAAUUAGGUUCAUAUUUCUUUUGACUGUUGAAGUAAAGAACUUCUCUCUCUGGCUUAGAUAUCACUUACAUUUUAUAAAUUGAUUUCUCAUACUAUUGUGAUAAGCCAAGAAACACCAUAGUGAAUCGUGGCUUCAGAAGAUGUAUAUGUCGGCAAGGUUGCCAAAGGGUUGUGUGUGGAUGGAGAAAGCAUAUCUUCCAUUAUCUGCUAUUUCUUUUGCAUGCCUCA